rnacentral:lncRNA from 1 species
GUUCCUGUCUUCUGGCUCUUGACUGACACUGGUGCUUUCCCCCUGUGGUCCUGCAUGGUGUGUGGUGACUACCUCAUUGGGCCCUAAAACUUCUAAAAUCAUCAGGAGAUAUCACUGAAAAGGUUUCAAAACAAAGCCAUAAUCUCUAGAAAUGUGUCCUUGAUGGGUUGGUCUUCAUUUGCCUGAAGGUGAGUAACUGGUGUUUUUAGCAUGCCAAAACUUCAGGAUCCAUGGGUACCUUUUUCUACUUUUCAUCAGGAGGCAAAAUUCAUACUGCAUUUCACAUGUAGAAAGGAAUUUGGCCAGAUGAAUAGAAGAAUGGAAGUUUCUCCAAGCAGGGCCAAGCUUUCAUGACCUCAGACAGCAUCUCAAAUUGUUUGAAUGAAUAGGCAGAACCAGCCUGUGAAAUCAUGGGGGAACAGGGUUGCUUAACCAACUAUCCAAGUAGAAAGAGAGGCCAAAAGUAAAGUACGGUAAGAAAAAGGGGAAGUAGCAAUUUCAGGUGAGAAAAA